rfam:Oryza brachyantha chromosome 9, whole genome shotgun sequence.
UUUCAUUUUUUCGUAUCCAACGUUUGACUAUUCGUCUUAUUUGAAAUUAUUUUACGAUUAAUUUUUUUAUUAUUACUAGAUGAUAAAAUAUAAAUAGUACUUUAUACAUGACUAUUUUUUAGGUUUUUGCAUAAAAUUUUUAAAUAAGACGGAUGCUUAAACGUUGAACAUGAAAAAACA